UUCUAACACAUAGGUCUAGACUGACAGUCAGACACGGCCUUCUGACUAAGUCUUUAGUUUAUUUUUUUUAUUGUAUUUUUUUUACAAGAUCUCACUCUACAUAUCCCUGGCUGGCCGGGAAAUGCUCUCUAGGCCAAGCUGGCUUCAGUCUCACAGAUGCACCUGUCUUUGCCUGCUGAGUGCAGGGAUCAAAGCAAGCACGUAACAUACCUGGCUCUGGCUUCAUUUGCAUAACCACCUUCCCAGGUCUUCCCUGUGGACCAACCCCCUUUCUCCAGGCUUCUCCUGUAGAAGUCCAAGCUGUGACUUCUACAGCUGAGUGCUUGCAGACUCUUGUCCUCUGUGUGUUUUUAUGGGCUGUCCCAUCUCCCCAGAAUGUCCUUCCUGAUGUUGUUGCUGUUGAUGCUAGCUGUGUUUGUGUAAUACGUAGCCCAGGCUAGCCUCAAGCUUGUCAUUCUCUUACUCAGUCUCCCAAAUAUUAGCAUUAAGGUGUGAGUUAUCAUUUUUUUCCUGGAAAAGUUCCUCAUUUUUUUUUCCUCCAGAUAUUGACCCAAGCAAGUUGUUUUGACUCCUCCUGCCCUGGAUCAGAUGUCUCUCCCCUGGAACAUUUGUUCACCUUUGCCUGAGUUGCUUAACUGCCCUGCAGUCCACCUAGACCAUGGGUGUCUGGAAGACUGGGAUCAUGUCCAGUGGCCCAGCACUCGGGCUACCCAGCAAGUAUCUGUUGAAUGAAUGACUGCAUGGGGCAAAACCCACAUUUCAACACUAAAGCUUCCUCUGGGUCACAGAUAUUCGAGGGGGACUUGUGGGCAAUGUCAGUAUGGUGGAAGAAGGAAGGCCAACUCCUGGGGAAUCUAAGAAUAGAAGCAGUAGUCCUGAGUUAUCUGCCUCCAAAACCUAAACAGAGGGACAAAACAGCUGUGGUCCAUUGCUGCACCACCCAGUUCCUUUUUAGGCUUAUGAAUCUUGACAGUCACCUUGCUUUGACGGAGAAGGAAAGAGAACAGCCUGUGUGAUAGAGAGCCUUCAGGAGAGAAGGUGGAAAAGGACUUACCCUAGUCAGUGAGGAUACUACAACAGCUGCAGUGGCUGGGAUAGCUCCACUUGAAUGAGAUGACGCUGGGCCACUUAGGGAAAAGAGAGAAGAUCCCGAAGAUGACAAGGACCACAAGUCAGGGAGAGGACUUGGGACACACAGCAGGAGGGGAUUAAAGGAUUAUGUGUAUUGGGCCCCUGUUACCAGCACCCAGAAAGGCAUGCACUUUAACUGCCAAGAAACUAAUAAUGAAUUGGAACACCAUCACUGUGCUCAACCUCUGUGCUAUUUCAAAAUCAGCUGUACACUGGCUUUGUAGGGCACGGUGGGUGAAAGCCAGUACAGGCUCUUGUGUUGUCAUUUAAUGAUUAAAAAAAAAUGUAUGUG